rnacentral:rRNA from 1 species
AUUGAACGCUGGCGGAAUGCUUUACACAUGCAAGUCGAACGGUAGAGGGGGCAACCCCUCGAGAGUGGCGAACGGGUGAGUAAUAUAUCGGAACGUGCCCAGUCGUGGGGGAUAACGUAGCGAAAGUUACGCUAAUACCGCAUAUGAUCUACGGAUGAAAGCGGGGGAUCGCAAGACCUCGCGCGAGUGGAGCGGCCGAUAUCGUAUUAGGUGGUUGGUGGGGUAAAGGCUCACCAAGCCAACGAUCUGUAGCUGGUCUGAGAGGGCGACCAGCCACACUGGAACUGAGACACGGUCCAGACUCCUACGGGAGGCAGCAGUGGGGAAUUUUGGACAAUGGACGCAAGUCUGAUCCAGCCAUUCCGCGUGCAGGAUGAAGGCCCUCGGGUUGUAAACUGCUUUUGUACGGAACGAAAAGGCUUCCAUUAAUACUGGGAGCUCAUGACGGUACCGUAAGAAUAAGCACCGGCUAACUACGUGCCAGCAGCCGCCGUAA